CUCCACUCAUUGUUCUCCCCGCCCCAGAUUUACCACCAUAUAAACAGCUUCCUCCUUCAGGCUGAGCCAGUCCAGGAGAGCUGCAGGCGUUGCAUUGGGGACCUUGGAUGGGGGUUGACUCUGAGAUGCUGCAUCCCCCAAGACACGGAUACACCCUCAAAUGAACGGCUUCCUCCUCCGGGCUGAGCCAGUCUGUGAGAGCUGCAGGAAUAGCGUUGGGGACCUCGGACAGGGGUCGACUCGGAGACGCUGCCUCCCCCAAGAGACUGUACAACAUCUUCGCUGCCUCUACCGUGC
rnacentral:lncRNA from 1 species